GAUCCAUCAAACACAAAUGAUUCGUUUGGUUCUAGUUUCUUCUUUCAUUUUGAUCUUGGGUGUCUUCGAAGCCAAAGGUGAACCGAAUGACCUUUCACUCAAGAAUGACGAGACAAGUACUCCAUCUCGAUCACUUGAAGAGAAAUGGGCAGAGGCAGCUUCUUAUGUGAGAGUCGUAGAAGAGAAAG